rnacentral:lncRNA from 1 species
GUUAUUUUGAGGUUUAGAAUUGUUAUCCAUCACAUCACAUUGCACUCCUAAAUUCACCAGCUUAGAAAAAUUGAAACCAUCUAUUUUCUUACUAAGAGCUUCAACCUGAUUUACUAACACAGAAACUACAUCAAUAUUAAAAAAUCGGCUGCUUUAAUUGGUUUCAUUCUCAUAACUUGCCACCAAUAGUUAGUCAGUGUCAUCUCCC